rnacentral:rRNA from 1 species
AAUAGAUACCCGGGUAGUCCACGCCGUAAACGAUGAGUGCUAAGUGUUAGAGGGUUUCCGCCCUUUAGUACUGCAGCUAACGCAUUAAGCACUCCGCCUGGGGAGUACAGUCGCAAGACUGAAACUCAAAGGAAUUGACGGGGGGCCCGCACAAGCGGUGGAGCAUGUGGUUUAAUUCGAAGCAACGCGAAGAACCUUACCAGGUCUUGACAUCCCACUGACCGGUAUAGAGAUAUACCUUUCCCUUCGGGGACAGUGGUGACAGGUGGUGCAUGGUUGUCGUCAGCUCGUGUCGUGAGAUGUUGGGUUAAGUCCCGCAACGAGCGCAACCCUUGAUCUUAGUUGCCAGCAUUUAGUUGGGCACUCUAAGGUGACUGCCGGUGACAAACCGGAGGAAGGUGGGGAUGACGUCAAAUCAUCAUGCCCCUUAUGACCUGGGCUACACACGUGCUACAAUGGAUGGUACAAAGGGCUGCAAGACUGCGAAGUCAAGCCAAUCCCAUAAAACCAUUCUCAGUUCGGAUUGCAGG